rnacentral:rRNA from 1 species
CCUACGGGAGGCUGCAGUGGGGAAUAUUGCACAAUGGGGGAAACCCUGAUGCAGCGACGCCGCGUGGGUGAAGAAGUAUCUCGGUACGUAAAGCUCUAUCGGCAGGGAAGAAAAUGACGGUACCUGACUAAUAAGCACCGGCUAACUACGUGCCAGCAGCCGCGGUAAUACGUAGGGUGCAAGCGUUAUCCGGAUUUACUGGGUGUAAAGGGCGCGUAGGCGGCAGAACAAGUCUGGAGUGAAAUCCCAUGGCUUAACCCCGGAACUGCAUUGGAAACUGUGCGGCUGGAGUGCGGGAGGGGUAAGCGGAAUUCUUGGUGUAGGGGUGAAAUGCGUAGAGAUCAGGAGGAAUACUCGUGGCGAAGGCGACUUACUGGACCGUAACUGACGUUGAUGCUCGAAAGCGUGGGGAGCAAACAGGAUUAGAUACCCGGGUAGUC